rnacentral:rRNA from 1 species
CAGUCGCCACGGUAAUACGAAGGGUGCAAGCGUUACUCGGAAUUACUGGGCGUAAAGCGUGCGUAGGUGGUGGUUUAAGUCCGUUGUGAAAGCCCUGGGCUCAACCUGGGAAUUGCAGUGGAUACUGGGUCACUAGAGUGUGGUAGAGGAUAGUGGAAUUUCCGGUGUAGCAGUGAAAUGCGUAGAGAUCGGAAGGAACAUCUGUGGCGAAGGCGACUAUCUGGGCCAACACUGACACUGAGGCACGAAAGCGUGGGGAGCAAACAGGAUUAGAUACCCGUGUAGUCCCUGUCUCUUAUAU